rnacentral:lncRNA from 1 species
GGCACAAGACUAUUUGGUUCAAGGAACAUAUUCUACAUAAUGCGUUUAUAUCAUGGCUGGCUUUGCGGAGAAGACUGCCAACCAAGGAUCGCUUGAGGCGUUGGAGGUUAAAUGUCUCAGGAACGUGCGUCCUUUGUAAUCUGGAAAUAGAGACUCACUAUCAUCUCUUCUUUGAGUGAUCUUUCUCUCGCUUGAUAAUGAUUUGUCAGUGUGUAGAUCAUCCCACGCUUAAGCUCUUUCUCAUAUUGGUUGCGACGGUUCUGACCGAUGAACCCCUGAGCCACAGUACCCUGCAUAACAUAGAGUCAAUAUUGGGUCAGUCGAAUAUCUAAAAGUAUUGGGGCAGUCGUAAUACCUAUCACAGAUACGCUAGUCUGAUUUCAAGCUGAUAAAUCAAUUUUUUUUACAAAGAUAGUUGCGGUGAGUUAGCAAAACAACAAAACAGGAUUGAUAAAACAGUUUAAGUUCUGAUAAAGACACGCUCAUUUGAACAUGAAGACAAUUCAAAGAUACACUAAUAGGAAUUGUAACCAAUCAAUCAGGUUAUUUAAAAACAUAUACGCCUAUACAAUUUCAGCUCAAACCAGUUGAUCAUUUUAUUUUUCAAAGAUCCUACUAAAGGGCUUAAUUUCAUCUCAAAUCAAUCAAUUAAGUUUUUACCAAGAUACGCCUAUAUAAUUUCAUCUCUACACAACUGAUCAAUUUUUUUGCUUAAAAAUACGCUUGAGACCGGAACCAACCAAUCAAGUUUUCUAUCAACAGACGCCUAUAUAAUUUAAUCUCAAACCAACUGAUCUAUUUUUUUAAAAAAAAAAAAAAAAUACGCUACGCUUAAGACCAGAACCAACAAAUCAAGUUGUAUAGUACGAUACGCCUAUAUAAUUUCAUCUCAACACAACUGAUCAAUUUUUUUAAAUUUAAAAUACGCUUAAGACCAGAACCAACCAAUCAAGUUUUCUAUCAACAGACGCAUAUAUAAUUUCAUAGCAAACCAAUCAAUUAAGUUUUGAUCAAAAUACGCCUAUAUAGUUACAUCUCAACAUAACUGAUUUAAUUUUUUUUUAAAACACGCUUAAAUAAUCACGGUUCAGAAGCGGAAACGACAUCCAAAAGGAAACAUGAAAACAAACCUCUGCGUCGAUCAGAAGGAGCUCGAUCCCAAGAAUGAUCCCUGG